AUCUUCGUUUAUGAGGAACACAUACGUAAGCCGGUAUACCUAAUCUCUCUUUUUUUUUUGCGCGCUGAGUGUCUUCUGCUUAGCUGGCCCAUUACUCCGGAGCUCGCGUGCGUGUGUGUGCGCGCUUUGCUGCUUAGCGUAUCGCAAGAAAUCAUCGCUGUAAAUCAUAGCUGCCGAACCUCUACAGGGCCGUUUAUUACGGUCGAACUCGCCAUUCUUCACAUACGUACAUGCACAUAGGCAUCUACGCACAGCCGCACGCCGUUUCUCUUCCCUAGUUUGUGCGUGGGUGUGCGCAUGCUCGCGUCCGCACACCACCUCCACUACCACUGCCAUCGCCACCUCUGCCCCUACCCUGAGACUUCUUGAUCUUUUGUGUAGAGAAGAGUAGCACGCUUGCGAACCCGUCGAAUCGAAAAAGAAAAAGAAAGACAACCAAGGAGUAGAGUGAGAGACGAAGACGUCACACAGUCGGUGUGCUGCCCCCGCUCCUCUGCUAUCAUCUGACCAUCGUCUGUUCAUCUCCCUCUUCCCCAGGAAUAGGGUGCCGUGUUUGAUAACAAUUUGGCUUUGGCUUGCUGUUCAGCGCGCCUACUUUUAUUUAUCGUUUUUGUCCUGGCGCACAGACUUCGCCUCCCAGACCGAUCAGAACUGCACGGCACCAUGGCAGAACGGAGACACCCUAACCAGUUUCUCCGGUUAUUGUGCACGUUGUACCUCAUCCUGUCCCUGGUGCUGCAGUGGGUUAUCAUCUGGGUCGCACAGGUCAUCUUCAUCGUGGUCUCCUUUCCCUUCACGACGUCUGAGUUCCGCCAGGAUAUCUGCGGCCACAUUUUGCGCAAGGUCAGCUUUGUUGGUAUGGAUCUGCUGAACCCGUUCUGGUCCAUUCAUGUCCUCAACAAGUUCCCGGAGGUGAAGAGCAAGAAGGUGAUCCUCAUGCUGAACCACCUCAGCGGUGCCGACCCAUUUGUGGCCAUCCGCUCCUUAAUGCCCCGCGAUGGCACGUGGAUCGCGAAGGCUGGAUUGUUCCGUGUACCGUUUGGUGGGUGGGCGCUGUACAACGCCGGCGACCUACCCGUGCACUUCCGUGACAAGAAGACAAGCUUUGCGACGGUGAAAGGCACGGUUGGCCCGAUGAUGGAAAACGCGCGAAGGCGUCUGCGCCGUGGCCGCAUGCUCUGUGUCUUCCCGGAGGGUAUUCGAAACAUGAACCCCGACGGCCCGCUGAACCCGUUCCGCCUGGGAUUCUUCUCUCUCGCUGUCGACGAGGGAGCCACAAUCGUGCCACUGGCAGUGAGCGGGACGGAAAAGCUAUGGCCGCGCGGGUCGGCGCUGAUGGACGCCGCGGACGCGUACUUUUCCUUUGGGGAUCCAAUCGACGCCAGAAGUUUUAAAUCGGCCGAGGAGCUGUCGCAGCACGUGUGGAAUGUCAUCACAGAGCUGCGCGAGAAGCAUCCGGACCGCAUCGAGCUACAUGCGUGGCAGGCGAAGGCUUAGGCGAAGCCUCCCUCUGCGCAGUUUUAUUUGAAUGGGAAGGCUCCGUGAGUACACGUCAAUGAGCCCACAGAUAGACUAUAAUGGUUGGCAUCGAUUAAUAUUAUUUUUUAUCUUUUGUGUUGUUUCUACCGUUAAGCAUCGGGACGGGGCAAUCGUGCCACACGAUGGCACACCACACACACACUGGAAUGCGGUAGAUAAGAACGUGGGUGAACGCAUACGCUUGUGCAUGUAUGCUUUCCGUGCGUCUCCGUUGGAGCUGAUAAUCGCAGGAGUUGAUGGCGCCGUUUCUCGUGGUUACUGCUACACUCAGUAGUAGCCUCCUCUUAUACGUAUGCUGCGGUUUGUAGAUCCAUCUCCCUCCAGGCCUCUAGGGGGCAUUCGCGAGCAUGUGGCACUAUACGUGCUGCUCUUGCUGUGGUGCAUCGCUCUUGAGCUGACCUUCGUAUGUGCUGGGAGAGGGAUCGUCUGAGGGCACGUGAAAACGAAAAAGGAAAAAAGAAGUGUUUCAAAAAGAAAGGCGAUAUGUUUUUUUAUGAGUGUGGGUAUGAUGUCGUCGCAGGCGCGUGUGCGUGUGUGCCUGUGUGUUUCAGCAAGCUCCUUCUUCAUUUUUCAUCCAUCAUUAGCGCUUUUUUUGUAAGAAUCCAUCCACGUGUCGUUAUUUUGCGGUGACUUUCUCCAUCAUCUUUUUCUUUAUGUUUUUCUCACCGCGAAGCCGUGCGCCUUGCGCGCAUGAGUACUUUGUGUAAUGACACGUAUUUCAGCUGCUGCAGUGCAGCAGCUGCAACAUAAACGAAAAGCAGAAAACAGGAGUAGCCUCUGCAGCUCUUCGAUACGGAACGCUCGCUCGCACCUUAGGCGCUUCUCUUGCGUUGUCGUUGGUGCGCUGCUAGUCGGAAAAUGGCGGACAGCGCGUGCUUCUAUCACUUCUUUAUGUCGAGCCUUGGUGGCGGGCGACAUCUAAGAGUAGUAGCCAGGGUACAGUACGGACUCUGCGGGGAAGCCAGGCGACUCCCCGCCCCCUCCAAUUUCUAUGAAAUGUCAAACUGCUUCUGGCCAUGAUAGGGUCAAGAACCUGAAGCAUGGGAAGGCCAGAGUGAUGCAUCGCUGCUGAUGUCGGCGGCUAGGUCGCGGAUGGCGCUGCGUUGGAGGGCGGUGCGAUGCUAAACACGCUUGUGCCGUCUAUAUGACGGGCAGAGCGUCAGCAUGACUCGAGCGUAGGUCACUUCCGACCCUCUCACUGUCUAGUGUUGUGGGGAGGCUGAUUGUAACCCCGGUGGGCGCACCAGGGGUGGCGGCUUGGCAUGAUGGGGAGCGGCCUGCGAGGCGGCCGUGGUGGGUAGAGUUUGAGGCAGAGGCCAUGCUCAGAUGGCUGAGUCGGCGCAUUGCUGUAGCACGUGUGUCUCACGCUGCUUCGCACCAGGCGAUGCGGUGCCUUUGGCAUGAAAAGGUCUAGUGUGGAGCUCGACUCAUGCACGGUGGCAGAUAAUGGAUGUAUAGGGUAAGCGAACAAAUAUUUUCAAGGAGCUGCACCCGAGGUGGAAAGCGCUGCAGAACGUAAAUUUUGUGUGUGUAGACGAAGUUCUGCUGUACAUCUCCCUCCUUUUCUGAUUAGAACCCGUGUGGGUGAGAGAGGGUUUGGCCUCUUCGAUGUGCUCAGAGAUCGUGGUUUAUUACUUCUUGUCACGUCGGUUUC
rnacentral:misc_RNA from 1 species